rnacentral:rRNA from 1 species
AGAGUUUGAUCAUGGCUCAGAACGUACGCUGGCGGCACGCCUAACACAUGCAAGUCGAACGAAGUAGCAAUACUUAGUGGCAGACGGGUGAGUAACAUGUGGGUAUCUACCCUUUGGCCUGGAAUAACACGAGGAAACUUGUGCUAAUACCGGAUAAGUCUUUACGGAGAAAGCUUUAUGCACCAUUGGAUGAGCCUGCACUUGAUUAGUUUGUUGGUGGGGUAAUGGCCUACCAAGACUUUGAUCAAUAGCUGAUUUGAGAGGAUGAUCAGCCACAUUGGGACUGAGACACGGCCCAAACUCCUACGGGAGGCAGCAGUGGGGAAUCUUGCACAAUGGAGGAAACUCUGAUGCAGCGAUGCCGCGUGAGUGAAGAAGGCCCUUGGGUUGUAAAGCUCUUUCGUCGGGGAAGAAAAUGACUGUACCCGAAUAAGAAGGUCCGGAUAACUUCGUGCCAGCAGCCGCGGU